UAUAGUUUAUUUUUCAGGUCUGUGAUUUCUUCAUUAUUUCCUAAAUUGUUUUAGAGGAAAUUGUCCCGGAAAAAAACAACGUAAUUUGGUACUAAUUAUAGAGGGAAAUAAUUUGCUUGGUACACACAGGUCAGCUGAACAUAAACAUAAUUUUGAAAAUGUGUAAAAGAAAACUCAACAAAUAAUAAGUUUCUAAUAAUAUUGCAUACAUAAUGAUGCAUACUGAAUAAAAAUGUACUUUGGUUUGAAAAGAGCUUUUCUUUAAAAGGAAACUCCUAACUUCCCUAUAAUAAGUAUAAGGUAAACCCCAAAUUGCGAAAACUCUCGCUAGACUAGAAAACCUAUCCUAACCAUAACCAUUCGAGAGUUUCGCAAUGUGGGAGUUACCUUCUAAACACGACUGCUCUCGAGCUAACGUUGCUAACAGCGCUAAUAGUGCAAAAAAUGGUGAAAGUGCAGACAGAGCUAGCAGCUACGCUUCCGCUUCAUUAUCUCCUGUAACUGCUAUAUGAGAGUAGUGCAGAGCAGCGGCCUAAAUGAACAUGCAGUAAAAGCAUGCGCGGCCAGGUCGGCUAUGUCAACAAAGCACAGAGAAGCUCGGAGGCACACACAGCUCUAUAUCUUUACAUAGACAAUUGUUGUUUGUUGCUAUAUUAAUGCUCUGGAUACAUGGAUUUAGCACCUUUAAAGCAUUACUUAACGACAAUAACAUUACUUUUACAACAAUAAAAGCAGACAUGAUCAUUUCUGAGACA